rnacentral:rRNA from 1 species
ACGCACGCUGGCGGCGUGCCUCAUACAUGCAAGUAGAACGCUGAAGAGAGGAGCUUGCUCUUCUUGGAUGAGUUGCGAACGGGUGAGUAACGCGUAGGUAACCUGCCUUGUAGCGGGGGAUAACUAUUGGAAACGAUAGCUAAUACCGCAUAACAAUGGAUGACACAUGUCAUUUAUUUGAAAGGGGCAAUUGUUCCACUACAAGAUGGACCUGCGUUGUAUUAGCUAGUAGGUGAGGUAAUGGCUCACCUAGGCGACGAUACAUAGCCGACCUGAGAGGGUGAUCGGCCACACUGGGACUGAGACACGGCCCAGACUCCUACGGGAGGCAGCAGUAGGGAAUCUUCGGCAAUGGGGGCAACCCUGACCGAGCAACGCCGCGUGAGUGAAGAAGGUUUUCGGAUCGUAAAGCUCUGUUGUAAGUCAAGAACGGGUGUGAGAGUGGAAAGUUCACACUGUGACGGUAGCUUACCAGAAAGGGACGGCUAACUACGUG